rnacentral:lncRNA from 1 species
GACCAUUCUUUUUUCUUAACCAACGAUAAAAUGAUAUUAAUAAAAGUCAAAAGGGAAGUACAAAAACGAUCCCUAAGCCAUAGGGCUUGAAGAGAAGGAUUAUCACAGAAAUGAGGAUCUGUGAGGGAAACCCUUGCUAAGCUAUGAGCUAGAUAAUUAAGAUCUCUUUUAACAUGGACAAAGGAGAAGCCUUCAAAAUUUUUGAUCAUAUGACGAAUGUCGAAGAUGAUUGUGGAGAGGGCACUCCUAGGCGGGGAGAGACUGUUGAUUGCAUCCACGAUAUCUUUUGCAUCCCCUUCAAAGAUAACUUUGUUGUCA